CCCUCCUAUUUCCAUAAUCCACUUAUUUGCACAAGCCUCAUUUUGCCAUUUCUUCUUCUUCAUCACUCUUUAUUCCUUUUUCAUUCUCUACAAUUUGAGUGUGGUCAUCUUCUUCAAAUGCAGUAAAAUCUGAGCGCUAAUCCUCUGUGUAACAUUAAUGGAUGUCAUUUUGGGUAUGCAUUUUCUAUUUGGACCGUUAAGCUCUUAACACUGUUGCAGAAAGAAGAGGAAAGAGGGUAAAAUUUAUGCAACAAAAAGGAAAAAGCUCCAGGGAAAGAAGUUAUUAGCAAUACAUUAUGGACCUACAGAGAAUUCUCAUGUUGCUAGCGUUAGGGAGGCAUUGACACAUUUUGUUGUCUCAUUGAAUGACAAGGAGUGGUUGAAAGAAGAGAGAGAAUCUUGCUAAAGGAGUGAAACAACAAUUUCAAGAGAUGAUGCUUCAGCACUCAGUGAAAUGUGAAUCUACUAAGAGGAUUGUCUGAGGUUUCUUCAACUCAGCCAGUAGAGCUUAAUGUUGGCAAAUGUUUGAAUUUCACUCUCUUCUCCUCAGUUUAGAGUGUCUCCAUCCUUUCUCCAUCUGUCCUCACUACCAAUUGGGCUUCCUGUAUAGAGAUAAAAAUGCUAUGGUGAUUGGGGAUUAUCAUUCUUAGCUAAAGUCCAGAUCUUUGGUGCACCUCUUCUAAUAGCUGGUCAAAAAUGAUAAUGGUCUUAGCUUGAUACGAACAGUUAAAAUCCAGAUUUUACCCAAUUGUAGCAUCAACUUUUGUAUUAGUGAGACCACCAUGUACUAUCUGACCAUUUUGUCUCUUAUUCUCAUGGGAGCAAGUUCAACAAUGUAAUUGUACAACUUUGUUUCCUCAAAUAAAUGUACACAAUGAAGUAUAUUAUGUUAAUAUUUAGUUGUCUUGAUAA